rnacentral:rRNA from 1 species
GUUGGGUAGUGGCCAACCAAGGUGUCGACGGGUAACGGGGAAUCAGGGUUUGAUUCCGGAGAGGGAGCCUGAGAAACGGCUACCACAUCCAAGGGUGGCAGCAGGCGCGCAAAUUAUCCAAUCCAGAUAAUGGGAGAUAGCGACAAGACAUACCAGGAGUGACCUUCAUUAAGGUCAAUCACUGGAAUGGAUGCAAUUUAAAUACCUCAAUGAGGAACUACUGGAGGGCAAGUCUGGUGCCAGCAGCCGCGGUAAUACCGGCUCCAGUGGUGUAUCGCAUUGUUGCUGCGGUUAAAACGCUCGUAGUUUGAUAGUAGUAUGUAUGCCGACUGUAGCACUGUCCGUGUCCAUGCAUCACCCCGCGUGGGCGCGUAUAUUCAUCGCGGUCCGGGUGCCUCGGCAUUCCGGGUCGCGGUGGCCGCGUGUACGUGUGUGGGUGCGUGUGAUAUUUUGUGUCAGUGUAUCGUGGGUACGUGGAUGCUGUUUUCAAAACGGCGCCAUGCUAACCACUACAGUUGAACCACAUCGAGGAGUGUGCGGAGGACCACUGGUACGCCAGGCGUGUCAUCCGUAUGGCACUCCCUCGGUGCGCGCAUCCAGCCGCACCCCGUUUCCACUCGGUAACCCCGGGUGGUGGACGAGUGGCUGUGUGUUGGUGCGUGAUUUUUUGGUAUACAUAUUUAAAUUCACGGGAUUGGCCAUCAACUUCAGUGGUGGUGGUCAAGUGUACCUGUGGAAAGAUUGCCUUGAAUAAAAUAGAGUGCUCAAAGCAUGCUUGUGCUCGAAUAUGCUAGCACGGAACGAAUGUAUCCUAACCACCCCGUCGGGUGUAUGGCAGGAUUGUUGGUCUGCACACCUAUGUGGGUAUCGGUUAACAGGGACAUUUGGGGGCAUUGAUACUUGGCCGCGAGAGGUGAAAUUCUAAGACCGGCCAAAGAUCGACAAUUGCGAAAGCAUUUGCCAAGAAUGUUUUCAUUAAUCAAGAGCGAAAGUUGGAAGAUCCAAAUGGAUUAGAUACCCAUGUAGUUCCAUUACUUCAAAUUUUGCCAUCCUGGAUUCGAUCUUUAACACACAUCAUGUGGAAGAACGGAUCCACCGGGAAACCUAAAGUUUUUGGGUUCCGGGGGGAGUAUGGUCGCAAGGCUGAAACUUAAAGGAAUUGACGGAAGGGCACCACCAGGAGUGGAGCCUGCGGCUUAAUUUGACUCAACACGGGGAAUCUCACCAGGUCCGGACAUUGGCAGGAUUGACAGAAUGACAGAUCUUUCAUGAUUUGGUGGAUGGUGGUGCAUGGCCGCUCUUAGUUGGUGGAGCGAUCUGUCAGGUCAAUUCCGGUAACGAGCGAGAUCAACUUCUCUAUUUUGGUCGUCUUGAUAACUGUAUCCAUGUUUUUUCGUGUGCGCUGUCGCUCAGUGGCAUGGUACAUGGGCGUGUGUGGCUUCGGUCACGCGUGUCUGUGUGGUAUGUGACUGGGAUGGCGACGUACAUGGAUGUGGGCACUAGUGUCAGGUCACCUUCAUAGAGAGACAACCGGUGUUUUUACCAACCGGUGGAAGUGUGGCCAUAGCAGGUCUGUUAUGCCCUUAGAUGUUCUGGGCUGCACGCGUGCUACAAUGGAGGCGCCAGCGAGUUUAACCUUACCGAAAGGUACGGGUAAUCUUGUGAAUCGCCUUCGUGAUGGGGAUUGAGCUUUGAAAUUAUCGCUCAUGAACCUGGAAUUCCUCGUAAGUACGAGUCAUCAGCUCGGGCUGAAUACGUCUCUGCCCUUUGUACACACCGCCCGUCGCCACUUCCGAUUGGAUGGGCCGGCAAGAAUUUUGGAUUGAGAACAACUACCGGUGUGGUGGCCUCGGUCAUCAUAUCUUGUUGUUUUUGAGAUAUUGUUCGAGCCGGUUCAAUCAGAGGACGUGAAAGUCGUAACAAGGUUUCCGUAG